rnacentral:rRNA from 1 species
GAUGAACGCUGGCGGCGUGCCUAAUACAUGCAAGUCGAGCGAACGGACGAGAAGCUUGCUUUUCUGAUGUUAGCGGCGGACGGGUGAGUAACACGUGGAUAACCUACCUAUAAGACUGGGAUAACUUCGGGAAACCGGAGCUAAUACCGGAUAAUAUUUUGAACCGCAUGGUUCAAAAGUGAAAGACGGUCUUGCUGUCACUUAUAGAUGGAUCCGCGCUGCAUUAGCUAGUUGGUAAGGUAACGGCUUACCAAGGCAACGAUGCAUAGCCGACCUGAGAGGGUGAUCGGCCACACUGGAACUGAGACACGGUCCAGACUCCUACGGGAGGCAGCAGUAGGGAAUCUUCCGCAAUGGGCGAAAGCCAGACGGAGCAACGCCGCGUGAGUGAUGAAGGUCUUCGGAUCGUAAAACUCUGUUAUUAGGGAAGAACAUAUGUGUAAGUAACUGUGCACAUCUUGACGGUACCUAAUCAGAAAGCCACGGCUAACUACGUGCCAGCAGCCGCGGUAAUACGUAGGUGGCAAGCGUUAUCCGGAAUUAUUGGGCGUAAAGCGCGCGUAGGCGGUUUUUUAAGUCUGAUGUGAAAGCCCACGGCUCAACCGUGGAGGGUCAUUGGAAACUGGAAAACUUGAGUGCAGAAGAGGAAAGUGGAAUUCCAUGUGUAGCGGUGAAAUGCGCAGAGAUAUGGAGGAACACCAGUGGCGAAGGCGACUUUCUGGUCUGUAACUGACGCUGAUGUGCGAAAGCGUGGGGAUCAAACAGGAUUAGAUACCCUGGUAGUCCACGCCGUAAACGAUGAGUGCUAAGUGUUAGGGGGUUUCCGCCCCUUAGUGCUGCAGCUAACGCAUUAAGCACUCCGCCUGGGGAGUACGACCGCAAGGUUGAAACUCAAAGGAAUUGACGGGGACCCGCACAAGCGGUGGAGCAUGUGGUUUAAUUCGAAGCAACGCGAAGAACCUUACCAAAUCUUGACAUCCUUUGACAACUCUAGAGAUAGAGCCUUCCCCUUCGGGGGACAAAGUGACAGGUGGUGCAUGGUUGUCGUCAGCUCGUGUCGUGAGAUGUUGGGUUAAGUCCCGCAACGAGCGCAACCCUUAAGCUUAGUUGCCAUCAUUAAGUUGGGCACUCUAAGUUGACUGCCGGUGACAAACCGGAGGAAGGUGGGGAUGACGUCAAAUCAUCAUGCCCCUUAUGAUUUGGGCUACACACGUGCUACAAUGGACAAUACAAAGGGCAGCGAAACCGCGAGGUCAAGCAAAUCCCAUAAAGUUGUUCUCAGUUCGGAUUGUAGUCUGCAACUCGACUACAUGAAGCUGGAAUCGCUAGUAAUCGUAGAUCAGCAUGCUACGGUGAAUACGUUCCCGGGUCU